GGGGAUUUAGUUCAGCAGCAUAAACACCUGCCUUGCAAGCAGGCGGUCCUGAGUUCAAUCCCUG
rnacentral:tRNA from 1 species